rnacentral:rRNA from 1 species
ACUGAACGCUGGCGGCAUGCCUUACACAUGCAAGUCGAACGGCAGCGGACCUUCGGGUGCCGGCGAGUGGCGAACGGGUGAGUAAUGCAUCGGAACGUGCCAUUGAGUGGGGGAUAACGUAGCGAAAGUUGCGCUAAUACCGCAUAUUCUGUGAGCAGGAAAGCAGGGGACCGCAAGGCCUUGCGCUCUUUGAGCGGCCGAUGUCAGAUUAGCUAGUUGGUGAGGUAACGGCUUACCAAGGCGACGAUCUGUAGCGGGUCUGAGAGGAUGAUCCGCCACACUGGAACUGAGACACGGUCCAGACUCCUACGGGAGGCAGCAGUGGGGAAUUUUGGACAAUGGGGGCAACCCUGAUCCAGCCAUGCCGCGCGAGUGAAGAAGGCCUCGG